GCUCGCGGGCUAAAUAGCUAGAUUAGCUAGCUAGCGUUAGACUGCUUUCUCCACAGCGGAAUAAACUCUCUGUAUACACAGAGAAUUUGUCCUGCUGUGAAGAAAGCAGAAGUGAGAUUGUUACGACUGCAUCUAGUGGGGUCGUAACAAGUGGGGGCUCGUCCUCUGUUUUUCCUCUGGCUCUGUUUACCUGUUCCUUUUAGGGUUUUUUGUGUGCCCCCUCUCUCUGGUGUUGUUGUUUGUUUGGUUCUGGCUGGUGUUUUUUUUUUUUCUUUGUGGGUGGGGUGUGUUUAUACUGACUAUUGUGUGCUAUUUCUGCCAUGUUUGAUUUGUCUGCUUUUUCUAUUUGUCCGUCUUUUGACGCUCAGUUUGAGCGUUGUCGAAAGAAAGACUAGAUCUUUUGUUGGUAGCUGCUUUGUAUAACGCGGUUGUACCUCACUCUGCUAAUAAGAGGGAGAUAAAUGGAUUUGUAGAGUCUUCCCUUGUUGUGGCUGGAGUUCUGCCAGAAUGGGAGUUGUCGCUGGGUGUUACUGUUGGUUCAGCUCAUGGUGUGGACAAGGCAGAAGUUUUCUCCCAAGGUAUCUCCCAGGGUUGACCCCAUACUAGAAUUGAAAUUGAAGAAGUUGGAGCUGGAAAUUAAAAAAAACAGGAACAACAGGCUGAGCUGCUACGUCUUCGGGCUCUACAGGUAGAGGCAGAAAGGGAGGUGACACUUAAAAUGGAUGAGUUUGGGCUUGGGAAAACCCAUACCUCUUCCUCGGAAAGAUGUCUCUCCAGCACCAGUAAGCCCUGUACCUUCGGGGACACCAGUACCCAGUUCCCCUCGGGUUUCUGCUACCCCAGCUUCCUCUGCCUCUGCCUCUGGACGUUUUGAUAUUAGUCGACAGAUUGCCUUGGUUCCUACUUUUAGGGAACAUGAAAUUGAUGCAUAUUUCCCAGUGUUUGAGCGCAUAGCAUUGACUUUAGAUUGGCCCAAGGAACUAUGGUCUCUCUUAGUGCAGUAUAGGUUAGUUGGUAAGGUCCAAGAGGUGUAUUCCUCCCUAACACUUGAGCAGAGCCUAGGUUAUGACAUUGUGAAAGCAACUGUUCUCCAAGCAGAUGAACUAGUGCUGGAGGCAUACAGACAAAAUUUCAGAUGCUUAAAGAAAAACCCCAGCCAGACAUUUGUGGAAUUUGCCAGGGAAAAGACUGUUUUGUUAGAGAAGUGGUGUGCUGCUUGUAACAUUACCAUAAUUGAUCAAUUUAAAGAGCUCAUACUGGUUGAAGAAUUCAAGAGUUGUCUUCCUGAGAACAUUUGAAACUCCCAGUCAUGCAACUCGCAAAAGGACUCCUGUGAGCUCCCGAAACCUGACGCCUCUGUUUCGGCUGUUUCUGUGGAAACCCGUGAGUGCUUCUACUGCCAUGAGCGUGGACACAUAGCUAAUUGUCCUGCUUAAGUGCAAGAAUGCCUGCUCUCAAAAACAAAUGAUGAAGACAAAUAGCCCAUCACAAGUUUACGGGAUACGGAUGCUGCUGUGUCUCUUAUGUUGGAUACUGUGUCGCCUUUUUAAACUCAGACGUUUUGUGGUAGUGACAGAGCCUAUAGAUCGAGUUGUGUUAAUGUCUACACAAAGGGCAGCCCAAUCCCUUACGCACUGCUUUGAGUUGGCUGAAGGAAAAAGGCACCAACGCUCAGCAACAGCACUACUCCAUUCAAGAUGGUGUG